CGCGCUAAGCAGGAACCGAGAC
rnacentral:miRNA from 1 species